GGACCAUAGCUCAGUUGUAGAGCAUCUGCUUUUCAUGCUGAAGGUCCCAGGUUCAAUCCCAGGCAUCUCUG